AGUCGUUGAUGCUCCAUCUCAAUGAUUUUUAAUAUAGUUUUGGAUAAUACGUGAAACUUUUUGAGUUUUAUUGAUUCAAAUAAUAUAUAUGUAUGAAGGAAGGGUAAUAUUUAUGUUGUCAAUUUUGAAACAACGAACAUUUAAAUGGUGUCAAGAACAGUGCAAAUAACCAAAAAUCUCAUCAAAAAUAUUAAUUAUUUUCAAAUUAAAUAAUGUGAAAAUUUGAAUCUAUUAAUUUUUCUAAAUAAAAAUUGAGGAUCAUCGUGUGUGGAUCAAAAAAUGAAUUGAAUUAUUUUAAGUUUUCUGCGAAUUUUCAUUUGAUGACCGUUGUGAGUUUUUCCAAUGGCGCAUGCACGGCUCAGCUGUGUGCAAUCGCGACCAAUUUACGUAGAAAAAUAAUGUAUUUUAUAGUAUUUUUAUUCAAUUAGACGAAGUACUGGACACGGUAUUCGUGAUAUUAGGAAACAUGGACUGCCCAUUUAAUAUUGCUACAGUGCAUAAUUUUUGCUCAUAUUACAUGUAGCUUUUUGUUUUACAUUGUUUUUGAUGCAUCAAAAAGAAAACUACAUUUUUGAAGGAAAUUAUUCUUAGCUUGUAAUAGAAGAAAUGGAUGUAAUACGAGAUGAAGACAGGCGCAGGCGCCUGAGGGUGCUGGAAGAACGUAUAAAAGAUCCAAGAAGCAUUACAAAUAUUGAUUGCUUAUUGGAUACAGUCCAAGCCCUGGUGGCAGAUUGUGAUCACCCCAGCGUUAAACGUAUGAAAAAUAUAGAAGCAUAUAUGAAUAGAUAUGACUCAGUAGCUCAAGAUAUUUGUAAAAUGCGAAUGCGUACAGAUGAUUUCACUUUAAUAAAAGUAAUAGGUCGUGGGGCAUUUGGGGAAGUACAGUUAGUGCGACAUAAAUCUACACAAAAAGUAUAUGCUAUGAAAUUACUCAGUAAAUUUGAAAUGAUCAAACGAUCAGAUUCAGCAUUUUUUUGGGAAGAACGUGAUAUAAUGGCACAUGCCAAUUCACAGUGGAUAGUUCAACUUCAUUUUGCAUUUCAAGAUCAAAAAUAUCUAUAUAUGGUAAUGGAUUACAUGCCAGGUGGUGAUUUAGUGAAUUUAAUGUCAAAUUAUGAUGUACCAGAAAAAUGGGCAAAAUUUUAUUGCGCAGAAGUGGUGCUUGCAUUAGAUGCAAUACAUCUUAUGGGAUUUGUUCAUAGAGAUGUAAAACCAGAUAAUAUGUUACUUGAUAAGCAUGGUCACUUAAAACUUGCAGAUUUUGGCACUUGUAUGAGAAUGGAUGUUGAUGGUCUUGUUCGAUCUGAUACUGCAGUAGGUACACCUGAUUAUAUAUCACCUGAAGUACUUCAAUCUCAAGGUGGUGAAGGUGUAUAUGGAAGAGAAUGCGAUUGGUGGUCAGUUGGUGUAUUUUUGUAUGAAAUGCUUGUUGGUGAUACUCCAUUUUAUGCAGAUUCAUUAGUUGGAACAUAUUCAAAAAUCAUGGAUCAUAGAAAUUCAUUACAUUUUCCGCAAGAAGUUGAUAUCUCUCACUCUGCCAAGAAUUUGAUAUGUGGUUUCCUUACGGAUAGAACUAAACGUUUGGGCAGAAAUGGUGUGGAAGAAAUAAAAAAUCAUUUAUUCUUUAAAAACGAUCAAUGGACAUUUGAAAAUUUACGAGAAUGUGUGCCUCCUGUCGUGCCAGAACUUUCUGGUGAUGAUGAUACUAGCAAUUUUGAAGAUGUUGAUAAAGAAGAUGGACCAGAAGAAAGUUUUCCAGUACCAAAAGCAUUUUCGGGAAAUCAUUUACCUUUUAUUGGUUUUACAUAUUCAGGAGAUUAUCAAUUAUUAGCUUUUAAUGGGAAAGAAUCAGUAGAUGGAUUAGAAAAUCAUAUCAAUAAUGGUACAAGCGACGAUAUAAAAAUUUCUCAAUUAGAAAAUUUAUUGGAUAAAGAAAAAAGGCAAGUAGAAUCUUUAGAAUCAAGGCAAAAAGCUUUGACAACACAAUUGGAAGUUAUGACACGUCGAGAAACUGAAUUACGUGAAGAAAUAGGUAGAGCUGACAAAGAAUUAACUUUGUUAAGACAUAAUUAUAAAGAAGCACAACGUAGGGUAGAACAUGAAAUUGAAUCACGUAGAAAAGCAGAAUCAUUAUUUGUAGAAUUGAAAAAGAAGUUUGAUGAAGAACAGACAAAAAGAGCACGCGAUGCAAGUAAUUCACAACAAACUUCUGAACGUGUAACUAGUUUAGAAAAACAAAUUAAAGAAAUGCAAUCGAAAUUAGAAAGAGAAACGGAAACAGUUACAAGAUUACGGAAACAAGCUACGGAAAUUACUGUCGCUCGUCAAGCUGCAGAACAAAUGGCAAAUGAAUUACAAGUGGCAAGAGCACAAUUACAAGCGCAACGAGACAAUUUACAACAGGAAGUGGUUACAUUACAAGGACAAUUGUCGAAAGAACGUAGUUCUCGAUCACAAGCAUCAUCGCUAACUGCUGAAUUAGAAAGUCGUCUCUCUGCUCUUCAUCUCGAACUUGAACACAGCCGAGAAAAAGAGGAAAAAGCAAUCAUGGAUAACAGACAAUUAACUGAAAAAAUUUCAGCAUUGGAAAAAGAAGCUGCAAGCUUAACCCUUGAAUUGAAAGCUGCUCAAGCUAGAUACAAUCAGGAAGUUGUAGCUCAUCAAGAAACAGAACGUUCACGUAUAUUAUCCAAAGAAGAAGCUAAUUUAGAAGUUGUCAAGGCAUUACAAGCAAAAUUAAAUGAAGAGAAAAGUGGAAGACAACGUGCUGAAUUGCUUGCACAAGAAAAGGAAAGACAAACUUCUAUGCUUUCUGUGGAUUAUCGGCAGAUACAACAACGAUUACAGAAACUAGAGGGUGAGCACAGGCAAGAGAUGGAAAAAGUAAAAGUGCUACAGGGUCAGGUUGAACAAGAACAGCAAAAAAGAAACGUUCUGCAGACUGACUUGGCUCAGCAAUCAUCCGAAGCAGGACGUUUACGUGCUAGGGAACAGCAAUUAGUCGGUGAAGUUGCUCAAUUAAGGGAAGCGAAACGACAAAUAGAAGAGGAAUUACAUCAUUUAAAAACUCAAAGAAAUGUAGAUCAAUUACAAACUAAAGAAUUACAAGAACAAUUAGAAGCAGAAGCUUACUUUUCGACACUUUAUAAAACACAAACUCAAGAACUUCGAGAGGAACUUGAUGAAAAAAUACGAUUACAGCAAGAAUUGGAGGAAGAACGUAGUUCUUUGGUACAUCAAUUACAGUUAUCUCUAGCAAGAGGAGAUAGUGAAGCUUUGGCAAGAUCAAUAGCUGAAGAAACUGUUGCAGAUCUCGAAAAAGAACGAACGAUGAAAGAAUUAGAAUAUAAAGAUGGAGUAACUAAACAUCAUCAAGAAUUAAAUGCAAAAGAACAAAUUAUAAAUCGGCUUAAAGAUAGUGAAAGUGAACUCAAGAAAAAUGUUGAUCAAUAUCUCAAAGAAAAAGAAGAUUUAAAUAAACGGUUUAAAGAAUUGCAAGAUCAACUUUCUAAGGCACAAUCUAAUGCAGAGGAAAUAGAAAAACUCAGCAGUAAAUUAAAAACUGAACAACUAUUGAAACAACAAGCAGUUAAUAAAUUAGCAGAGAUUAUGAAUAGAAAAGAUUUAUCUUCAAGCGGUAAAUCUAAGAAUAAAGCAUCUGCAGCAGAUUUAAGAAAGAAGGAAAAAGAUUGUAGGCGUUUGCAACAGGAGCUUACUCAGGAAAGAGAGAAAUAUGGACAAUUGGCAGCUAAAUGGCAAAAAGAUUUACAAGAUUUACAAGCUCAAUUGGUGGAAGAAAAUCAAGCAAAAUUGAGAUUGCAAAUGGAACUUGACUCAAAAGAUUCUGAAAUAGAAACCUUACAAAUGAAGAUUGCUUCACUCAAUUCAGAAACAGCUAGUGUUUCGUCUGUAGAAAACGACGGAGAGGAUUCUGUUUUAUCAGAACAUGGAACCAUGCGAUUAGAAGGUUGGUUAAAUGUGCCAAAUAAACAGAAUAUUAAAAGGCACGGAUGGAAGAAACAAUACGUUGUCGUCUCUUCAAAGAAAAUAAUAUUUUAUAAUAGCGAAAAUGAUAAAUUAAAUGCUGAUCCAGUAUUGAUAUUGGAUUUAAAUAAAGUCUUCCACGUUAGAUCUGUUACGCAAGGUGAUGUCAUCCGAGCCGAUGCCAAAGAUAUUCCGAGGAUUUUUCAAUUAUUAUAUGCUGGCGAAGGCGAAGCAAGACGUCCUGGUGAUGAAGGAAAUACACUGCCUGGAGUGGAAUUGCCACAACUUACUGACAAACCAGGCACGCAAUCAUUAAAAGGUCAUGAAUUUGUAUCAAUAUCGUAUCACAUGCCAACUACUUGUGAGGUAUGCUCAAAACAACUAUGGCAUAUGUUUCGACCACCGCCAGCUCUCGAGUGUCGACGAUGUCGUAUAAAAGUACAUAAGGAGCAUUUGGACAAAAAGGAGGAUGCCAUAGCACCGUGUAAAUUACAUUAUGAUCCAAAUAGCGCUCGCGAACUAUUAAUUUUGGCUGGUAGUCCUGAUGAACAAAAAUAUUGGGUCGCAAGACUGUCUAGACGUGUACAAAAAUGUGGCUACAAGGCGAACUCGCACGUCGAUGGUACGGGACAGCGUGUCUCGCCAAGGUAGCGUAGCCGUGCGACUCAACGUAACUGGAGACUAAGUAGCUCUCUUAUAUUGUGGCAUCGCAUGAUUGGGUGUAGCGAGAGAAUCUACGAGAUCCACCUUGAAGCCAUAUUUAUCAGUGCAACAACGAUCCGCAACUCUACCAGCAAAUGCCAGUAUGGGCAAGUGACCUUAGCUAGCAUCGAUAACACUCGAUUGGAAUUCGUUAUUUCGACACCUUUCCUAAUCGAUUAAUUUAAACAUAUAAAUUCGAUCAGUUGCUCAGAUAAAUGAUUUAUAAGAGGAUCUAAAUGUGUAAAAAUAAUUUUCGAAACUCUGCGUUAUCUGGAUAAUAUUUUGAGAAAUCUGGAGUUCAUGUGUCUUAAAAGCAUCCGAUCCGAAAUAUAUACAGAAUCAUGUGUUAUUAUCAACUUUUUAACGAGUACGAGGAUAUUCAACGAAAUUAUUCGUUGACACGUUUACUUGUAUUGAUCGUUAUUUGUAGGUACAUAUUUGUUAAACGAAUUAAAUGUGCCUUUAAUAUAAUCUGACGAUGAUGGAACUCAAAUAAUUGAAAAAAGAGUUGAAGAAGUAAGACUCAUUAGCAAAUGUCAUGUGAUGAAAAUUUCCAGGAAACGAGUUGAUUAUAUAAUGAUGAUAAUGGCAGAAGUAUGCAGCUGUUAUUAACAAGACAAAAUGAUAAUAAUACUGUUUAUAUAUAAGAGCAGUGAUCGUAACAAAUUUAAGUACGUGAACCGCGUUUUUUUAGAUUUAUUAUACUAUGAGUAAACUCAUUAGUUAAUUUGUAUAGUCUCUCUAAGAGGCCAUCAUCAUAUGUUGUUUUAUAAAUAUUUUUUGUAUGAACGAAUAGAUCGAUUUUUUAUGAUGAUUUAUUUCUUUCGUAGAUGCUUACAAUUAAUGAUUUUCCUGUAUAUAAAUUACAAUUGUAAGAACUGCUUUUUCAUUUGAUCAAGCAGUUUGUUCGUUGACUUUAGCGAUCGUGAAAAAAAAGUGGAUAUAAUGACGAUUUCGCGAAGAGAAAUCGUUAUUUGUGCGAUAUACAUGUAUAAUUUAUUCCGUUCCUUUAUUUAAAAUGCGCGUUUUAAGAACUUGGUAAUAUUUUUGUGUAUUUACUGCGCCACAUCGAGAGUAUUAUUAUUUCAAUAUGUUUCGAGAUUAAAGAUAUUUAAUGACAAUUAUGUUAAGAAGAAAAGAAGAUUUGACUCGUUCAUAAAAAGACGCGUUGUAUCCAGUUGGUUAGAAUAGCUGACAAAGUUUUUUUUUAACAUGAAAAUGCAUCGAUAAAUAAUGUCGAUAGUAAAUAUGGAACACUGAAAAUUGAAAAUUUUUUUAUCACGAAAUUAUCAUAAGAGAUACAUCUUUCGAAUUUUGAAAUUCAUAAUAAUCUUAAAGUAUCUUAAAUUUUUAAAUCAUUAACACAAACAUAUUUUUAGGACCUUCGAACCUUCCAGAUUUUUCAAUUUUUGUUUUGUUUUCUUAUUUUUAUAUUUAUCAGUGAAAAAUUUGUAUUUUAAAUCAUUAAUUCAUAUUUUCGAAGACUUUCAAAACAUUAAAAAAUUAGGCGCUUUACAUAUUUCGUGAAUCUUUGUUAUCGCUGCCAUGUAUUAGUUAGAAUAUAUAUACAGAUUGUGAUUAA
rnacentral:misc_RNA from 1 species